UGCACCUGGGCACUGGAUGGGCCACUCCAGCUCCAGCAGUGACAGGUCAUUCUCCCCUGUGUCCGCGUCAUACCGCAUGUGCACAUGGACGUGCGUUAUCUUGAUCAUCAGCGGGUCUUGGCUCGUUCUGUUAAAAUCUGAAAUCAUGAACAAUCGCUAGUUCUUUACAGUCUGAUUUUCAAGGGGACAUAACACUCAGAAACGAGCUUCUCAGGGAGCCACGUGAGGAGGGAGAGACCGGCCCUGGAGGACCCGCAGGCUCACUGCCCCGUGGUGUGGACACUGUGCCUUUCUGUGGACAGAAAGGCCACUCACAGAUUGCAAGAUUGCAACCAAGUGCCACGGCCUUUAAAAACAGUCAAGCUAUACAGAAAGCAAGAAAAGAAUCAAAUACUGGCCAGACAGCAAAUGGACCCAGAAUGAGGUGCUGGGAAUCAGCCUGAGGAGGGAGAAAAAGCUGACUUUACAUGUGCUAAAUAUGGAUGUUUAUGUGUCAAGAGUGACCAUUAAAUAAACAAAGUGAAUGAUGAGGCCGGGCGUGGUGGCUCACGCCUGUAAUCCCAGCACUUUAGGAGGCCAAGGCGGGUGGGUCACUUGAGGUCAGGUGUUCGAGACCAUCCUGUCCAACAUGGCGAAACCCCGGCUCUACUAAAAAUAUAAAAAUCAACUGGGCGUGGUGGCGCAUUCCUGUAAUCCCAGCUACUCAGGAGGCGGAGGCAGAAAAAGCGCUUGUGCCCAGGAGGCAGAGGUUGCAGUGAGCCGGGACUGGACCACUGCACUUCAGGCUGGGUGACAGAUUGAGACUCCAUCUUAAAAAGAAAAACCAAAAACAAAUGAAUGGUUAACUUCUAAACCAGCCAAGGAGGGGAAAAGGAGAACAAAAAUGAAUGCCAAACUAGAGAAAUUUAGUGAACAAAAUAACAAAGCUAGAAUGCCAGGCCAGCAGCCGAGAGCAGAGCCAGUGCCUGAGCUGGUGCUCAAGCUGUUGCUCAGCCACUCUGUGGCUACACCCAGGUCCCCAGGUUGGGGCAGCCCAUCACUGAAGUGCUUCCCAGGCAUGCUGUGAUUUCGAGAUGCUUACGUUCUGAGAAAAUGACGUUGGCAACAGUUUGGAACUGCAGAGGAAAGGUGUUGGGGGCCGUAAAUAAUGCUAUCCUUUUGUAUUAGUUACGAACUCAGCAUUAGAACAUGGUUGGAAGUGUGAAUAGAGGGUAGUCAAUGCAGUCAACAGCCCAUCAAAGUCAGGAUGCCUGAUUCACUCAGUUGUUAACAUUUCUAUUUAGGAAAUGACAAGUAAGGUGAAAGUCGUAACAAUAAAUUGAAGCACGCGGAGAGCGCUCUGUUACCUGCCACGGGAGGUCCUGUAGGUCUGGUGCACACUUCUCGGAGGUCAGCACCCCGCAGGCACACUGGUCUGCAUUUGAGGCAGCAACAUAAGAAUAAGAAUCAGCGCCUUCCCAGCGAAUAUCAGACUCUGUCUAGGGUGUUAACCAUUGCAUAAUUCCGUCUAUGGUACUAACCAUUAUAAUCUUAUCCUUAAUGCUGAUGAAUGCGCAAUAAUUCACACAGACACGUAGACUGGAGUUAAACCACCCCCUCACGGCACUCAUGGUUUAGCUCAGAGUGGUCUGAGCAAGCACUAGUGACAGAAAUUGCACUUUCUAGCAUUGCCAUUGCUCCAGCAUGGAGACGCGGACCACCUUCUGAGUCAUGGCAACUCCUUAUCACAAAUCCGCGGGCUUCACCUAGUACUACAGAAGAAGGAAGGAGGAUGUGGACCGGGUCGCUGGCAUUGGAAGCCGGAGGCCGCUGUGGUCUGAGCACUCACCGUGGGGAACGCACUGUUUGUGGUCCUCACCAAGCCUGUAGCCCUGAGCACAGCUGCACGUGUAGGAUUCCUGUCCCGGGAGGCAGAAGUGUUGACACCCAUCAAUCCGCUCUGGGUGACAUUCAUUUUUAGCUGAAAAGGAAAAAAACCAGAAAUGCUAGCUUGGAAAUAGUCAUUUUAUCACAGCCUUGCACGCAGUUCUGGUGUUUUGGUCCAUGUUCAUUUUAUCACAGCCUUGCACACAGAGUUCUGGUGUGUUGGUCCAUGUUCAUUUUAUCACAGCCUUGCACACAGAGUUCUGGUGUGUUGGUCCAUGUGUUCUUAUUCUCUUCAGAUCGUUGUCCUUUGUGUCAGUGUUUCCCACAUGUCCGUAUUUCAGGAGUGUGCAUGUAGAACAAAGACUCCAUGAGUGAGGCCAGGCGCGGUGGCUCACACCUGUAAUCCCAGCACUUUGGGAGGCUUUGAGACUUUGAGCAGCUGGAAUGGGGGCUCUCCACCAAGAGGGAGAAGAUUAAGAAAGGGGCACAUAGUGGGUGAAGGUCAAAGCCCCCUUUGGUUGUGGUAAAUUUGGGGUGUCUGUGAAGGCACUAGCUGGGGCAUCAAGGAGGCAGAUGGAGCAGAAAUCUGGACUUCGGAGGAGAGGGCUGGGCUGGAAGGAAGGUUUUCCCCAGAGAAACGGGCUCCGAGUUGACCAGUGGUGCUGAGAACAGAGCACGCUUGUUGCUAUAGUUGGCGAUGAUGGACACUGACAUUUGGCGGGUAUUUAAGGAUAUUUGUUUAUAUGCUUUGCGUCUUCCCUGUCUGCAGUCUACCACUGGGGGUCUGGCACUGAGGAUGCCUGUGUGUGACCCCCAGCCUGUGAGCAGAUUGUGAAUGGUUGAGGCAGGGGUGGGGAGGAGAGGGGCCCAUGCCAUGAAAAGUAUGGGGGCCUGUCUGGAAGGGGCAGCUCAGAAUGCAGCCAGCCCCCUGGGCGUGGUUUCUGGAGGAGAAUCUGUUUGGGAUGAGAGGAAUCCCCUGGGGUGAGCCAAAUCGCGGUUCACACAGGCACCUUCGUGUCUACACUUCAGGAGAGGCCCAUUGGGACCCUGGCCGAGGAUGUGAGGCCCACCUGCCCAGGGAGGCCCUUGGGGGAAGGGGACGGCCAGGGCCUCACCCAGCUCGCAGUUGCUGCCCUCAUAGCCAGGGGAGCAGGUGCAGGUGUAGCCCCAGAUGCUGUCCUGGCAAGAUCCAUUGUGGAGGCAGGGCUGGGAGAUGCACGGGGAGCCGCCUGCAGGAGGAGGAUGGGGGUUGGCGUGGUGGUGACAGGAACGGGGACCUGAGCAGGAGGAGGACGGAGUGGGGGGUGGCAGCAGGGACGGGGACCUGAGCAGGAGGAGGGUGGGGUGACAGGAACAGGGACCUGAGCAGGAGGAGGACAGAGGGGAGCAGGGAUGGGGACCUGAGCAGGAGGAGGACGGGAGAACAGGGGCUGGCAGGGACGGGGACUGAGCCCUCUCAUGCUGCUCCCCAUGCCGUCGCCUGGCCCCCAGGACGCUCCCCUCUCAGGACAUAGGGCCUGGCUGCCAGUGCCUCCCGCUCUGCUGGGAGCUCUUUCUUCGUCCGCAUGCGGCCCCCCCUGUCCUGCCCCAUCAGCCCUUCUCUGGCCUCCCCGGCCUCUCCCGCUUCCUUCUGAGCCCAGUUGUCCCCGUGCUUGUCUGGUGUGGUGGCUGCAGCUCUUUGCUUACUCAUUCCCAGGUGGGUCCUUACCCUGGCCUCCCCCAGCCCCAUGGGUCUCCAUCUAUGUCACUUCUGUCCCAUGCUCUUCUGCAGUUGCUCACCUGGAGCUCCUCCCUCGGGAGGAGUCCCCUAACCAAAGUCUCCAUCGGGGCCAUGACUUUCCAAAAUUUGAGACGAGUUCUGAUCCUGCUGCAGCAUGAGGCUUCCCAGGAGCCCAGGAGCCAGGCGGCUGGAGGAGCUGCUCUGGGGGGGCCCUCCUGGCCUGUGGCCCAUGUCCCAGAGUGCCCAGAAACUACCCAGACGCUGGGUAAGACAAACCAGGCGCUGCCCGUGGCCCUGGUGGCAGAGCCCAGGGGCUUCCUGACCUGGUCCUUGGGGAGAGUACAUCGUGGGUCCCAGAGCCAAAGGCUUGGCAUCCGCUGACCUGGGGUCAUGAAGCGUCCUAAGCCCACCCCCUCACCUCAUCCCGAGGAGUUAAUACUUCUGAGGAGAUGAAGGAAACCACUUACCCUUAUAUCGUCUCCAGAAUUCAUCCUUUAGAGUUAAAACAUAAAAAAUGUUACAAAUGGGAUAUUUGUUUUUCUAUAUUCUUUCCUGUAGAUGAACUUGAAGGUAAGAAAAUGUUGAUUUUAUUCACCUAAUAGGACAAUAGUGGUUGAAACAAUGCACAAUUUUCCUGUUUUACAGCCUAUUUGUUUAUGUUAAAUGUAUAGUAACUAAAUGUAUGUGUAAGAUAUAUUACUCAACAUGUGCCUACCACCACCUAUUUGAGGAAGGCCAGAGUCUAUGACGUGGCACAAACCCACCACACACAGCCCCUAACGUGGCCCUUCCCUCCUAGGGCCAAUCUCCACGCCACCCUCCACAAAAGCACAUGAUAUAGAAGUCACAUCACCUUUUCACUUUUUAUAAACCGAGUUGAAUUUUAAAGAUAUAUACCUGUGUAGGGAGUGGGGACGCUUAGUUUGGGGUAGGAGUAUCUAAAAUUAGGAGAAUUAUUCAGACUUGAAGCCUAGAAAGAAAAUGUAUAAAAAAUGGUAUCUCCCAAGAUCAUAUUUGGACUUGUAACAACUUGAAUCAUGUCAUAAGUAGUAAAUGAAAAACAAUUUACCAGGAAAUCUGAAAAAUGAAAUUUAGGGCAAAAUACUUUGAAAAAUUUUUACACUUUUCACAUGCCUUCAGGAUUUCUCUGAGUUGUAUUAAAAAUGGUCUAUUUCAUAAGAGUUCUCUUAUAGAUAGGUAUUUACGAAACUAGAAUUUUAAAAACAUUAAUUAUACUAGAGAAACAGGUCAACAUUUAAUUAAGAAUCAGCUUUAGGCUGGGAACAGUGGCUCACGCCUGUAAUCCCAGCACUUUGGGAGGCCGAGGUGGGUGGAUCACAAGGUCAAGAGAUCGAGACCAUCCUGGCCAACAUGGUGAAACCCCGUCUCUACUCAAAACAAAAAAAUUAGCUGGGCUUGGUGGCAGGUGCCUGUAGUCCCAGCUACUUGGGAGGCUGAGGCAGGAGAAUCACUUGAACCCAGGAGGCGGAGCUUGCAGUGAGCUGAGAUCACACCACUGCACUCCAGCCUGGGCAACAGAGUGAGACUCUGUCUCAAAAAAAUACAAAAUAAAUAAAUAAAAUAGCAAAUUCUUACUUGUGUUAUUUAGAGCAUACAUGCAGUCACAUGUGAAGAAAAUCAUUUAUGUAAUCCCAAGCAUGGAUUAUGAUUUUCUUACUGUGUGGCAUCCCAGAGAGGAUGUUUCUGUUUUCAGGUUUUUUUAAGGUAUUGAAACCACUAAGUCUCCAUUAAAAGCACGAAAUUCUCUGAAAGCCACCACAAGCUGGGCGGCGUGUAUGUUGGGUGUCUGAUCAGUGUGUGGGCCUUGCCUGACCUGAAGAAAAGAGUCCAGUGGGCUCUGAGCUGACUUCCGGCCCCACUCACUGCUGUAGGGAAGGGUGGAUUAAGUCGCUUCUCUAAAUUGUUUCCUCAUCUGUAAAACUGGGAUUGUGUCAACCUCAUCGGUAAGUAAAUAGGCUAAUUAAUCAAGCUUAAUCUCUGAGAAAUGAUGCUCCCUGGGCCAGCAGAAGUCUAAAUAAUGAGGCGGCCUGUGGUUUGUGGUGGGGGUACAUACAGUGACUACUUCAUUUUCAAACACUUCUCUUGCUUCUUCAUAGACACAGAUUUCUUCAUAACAUUCUUUUUCCAAGUUUCCCUCGAAGAGUUCUUCCAGAAGAUAGGAGCCCGCACGCUUCCACCUCACCAGAACGUCGUUUGCCUUGGUGGCCGGGAGAAAUACUACAGACGAGACAAGAAGGCAGAUGACUGGGAGCACCGAGGGCCCUGCUUGCCUGGCUUCCGCCCUGGCCGGCCGCCAGCCCCAGCCCCAGCCCCCUCCGUCUCCACAGGCUCUCAGCCUGCGAGGGCCUCAGGGCCACCCCGCUACUCCCUGCCCCGAGGUAGGCAAGCACUUCAUUCUCUGGGUGAAUGGACCAGCCCCGGGAUCAGUGCAGAUACACUAAGGUUCUGCAGAGAGGCCACGGGCCUCAGGAAAGUGGAGGAGGGAGGGCUCCAACUGGGUUUUGGGUCCAAGUGCGAAGGAAGGCCGAGCUGGGGUCAAAGGUCACCGUGCUGAGAAUUGGGGACCAAGAGCCGUCAGCUCCUAUGCUGCCUCUGUGCACAGCAUUUAACAUCUUGAUAAAACACAAAAAGAAGAAACUUAUACGUUGCAGCAAGCUCUGCGAUUUCCAGGAGGAGAAGGCAAACCAGUCGGCCCCCGGCAGUGGUCUCUGGAGCCUCUUCCCACCUGAGGGUCCCAAAGCAUGUUCUGUCCCUCUCCUGGAGGGUCAAAGCCCAGGCCCUUCCCAUCCUCCCUCCUUUUCUCUUGGUGCUGAGGGUUACAGCAGAGGCGGCUCAGUUAAGUCCGGCUACAGCAAGUGCUGGGCAGGUGGGCAGGGAGUCACCCACUCAGGGCGGGAGACCAUGGGGCCAGUGGGAGACCAUGGGGCCAGCGGGGACACUGGGUGUUUUGACUUGCAGCUUUCCUGGAUGCCUGUGCAGGCAGAGUCAGAAUGGAGUCCAUGUCUGUUCCUUCAGUGAAGUGGCUGAUGGUAGAAGGGUGGCGGGCAGGCAGGGUGGCUGCUCCCUGGCUAUGUCUCCUGACCCAAAACUGGGCAUUCCUGGCCAGCCUGGCCAAGGCUCUCUCUGCCCACAUUGCAGUCUGGGCUCAGCCUGCCCCACCCCCUUCCCCCAUCCAAUGCCCAACCCAGGCCUCCCCCCACUCCUCCCCCCUCCCCCUCUCCCCCCCCCUCUCCCCAGCCUUUCUUCGCUGAAUCCCCUGCACACAUGCUUCUUUCCAUUUGGGCAUCUCUUGGGAGGACCUCAGGUGACACCAUCAUUGGUCCCAAAUACUUGUCACCAAAUGAUAAAGAUGCAAACAGCUUUUUCAGGGGAAUUAAGACUAGUCUGGGCACUCAGGGCUCCUCCGGCUCCGGGAAAAAGCGUCAUCUACAAAUCCACUGUGGACUGAGUCAAGAAAGACACAGCCCAGGCACAACAGACAGGUAAGCCAGAUGCCUACCUGAGGGCUCCGCACGAUGGAGGGCGAGGACCAGGACCAGGCCCUGGAGCAGCAGGAAGCAGUCGGCCAUUCCUACCCCGAGCGCUGGGACAGGGCUACAAACACAGCCAAAGUCCAGGCUGGGGGAGGUGCUGGCAGCAGGAGCCCCGGGGCAUGACCUGCGCAGCUGUGUGCUUCCCUCCUAACGUUUUCUGUUUGAGGCCAGGCAGAGAAAUGAACGGUGAAAGCUCAGAGGACCCUGGGAGAUAUUUAGGGAGACAGAGAAUGGAAGGUAAAGGCAGCAGGUGCAAGGUGGAAGGUGGCACCCGUGCCCGUGUGUGGUCAAUGGAGAUGAGACAGGCCCUGGGGACAUAGCAGUGGGUGAGACAGACAAAGUCACAUGCAGCUUAUGUUCUAGGUGUGUGUGGAAUACACAGAAAAGAAUGAGGGAAAGAGAAAGGAGGGAGUGAGGGAGGGAAGGCAGGAGGAUGGAAGGAAGGAAGGGGAGAAAAGGGAGGGAGGAGGGAGAAAGGGGGGAAGGGCCAAAUAGUGUCUGUCACUACAACACAGCACCAUUGUAGCAGAGGCAGCAUAGACAAUCAUGAAUGAACACUUGGCCGUGUGCCAAUAAAGCUUUAUUUAUAAGAGCUAUUAAGGGGCCAGAUUUGGCCCCAGGGUUGUAGUUUGCUGCUUUCAGAUGUAGGCCCUUUGUAUUAGUCCCUUCUCACACUGUUAUGAAGAAAUAGCCAAGACUGGGUAAUUUAAGAAAAGAGGUUUAGUUGACUCCCAGUUCCACAUGGCUGGGGAGGCCUCAGGAAACUUACAAUUAUGGCAGAAGGCACCUCUUCACAGGGUGGCAGCAGAAUGAGUGCAAGCAGGGGAAAUGCCAGAUGCUUACAAAACCAUCAGAUCUCUUGAGACUCACUCACUAUCCCAAGAACAGCAUGGCAGAAACCACCCCCAUGAUUCAAUCACCUCCCACUGGGUCCCUCCCACGACACGUGGGGAUUAUGGGGAUUACAAUUCAAGGUGAGAUUUCGGUGGGGACACAGCCAAACCAUAUCAGCCCUUGAAGCCUGAGGUAAGAACCUGGUGUUUCAUUUCCACUGUGUUGGGAAGAUAUUGGAGGGAACAGGAAUUGACAUGGAAAGAUUUGUGCUCUGAAGGGAUCACUGUGGCAGCUGUGUGGAGAACAGAACAUUCCAGAGAAGUCAAAAAGGGAGGCUGCUGGCUAGUCCAGGAGGGGGCGAGGGUGCAGCCAUGCAGCAGGAAGCACGUUUGCAGUCUGGAUACUUCAUGAAGGGAAAGCUGAUGGGAUUCGUGAUGAAUUGGGUCGGGCAGCAUGGCUUCAAGGUUUGGGCUGAGCGAUUGGGAGGAUGGCAGUGCGUGUGCUGAGACGGCCAAGCUCCCAGAGGGCAGAGGGAAGCGAGGUUUGGCAAAUUUCAAGUGUCUGUGGGAAGUCCAGGUGGAGACAGGAGUGGGCAUCAGAGAAGCUGGGACUCACAGUGGAGAUUCAGGUGGUAACAGAUGAAAUGACAGCAUUGUCGGCAUAUAGAUUUUGUUCGAUUGUAUGAUACUCAAAGGUGGCAAAACUCAAUGAAAGGAUUCUAAAUACAAUUUUGUUAAAGUGGGAACAGAAGAAAACUAAGAAGCUGACACCUUUGAUUAAAAGGGCAUGUCCACGAAUACACUGAAGUUGUGAAGUUUGCUUUAAAAAGCUGGGAAAAGAAAACAAAGUUUAUCUUUAGUGAGUGAGCUAAAAUAAUUUGAAAGCCAGAAGUUGAUUGUAUAGGAUAGAUCUUGGGUGAAUUGCACCAGGCUGGUAAUCCACGCGGCCUUCUCUUAAGAAAAGGUGCCUUUUUUUGUGUGAAAAUAUAUUCCCACAUGGAAACUUACAUACUUUAAAAAUACUUCUGCUGGAUAAUUUAAUAACCAUCAAUAGCUGCUUAAAAAUGGAAAAGCAGACAGGGACGUACACAUUUGAUCAAUAAGUGUUAAUUGAGCACAUCCUGUAUGCCUGGCAUGGGUAUCUGAGCUACAGGCUCUUCCCUCGUGGACCAUUUUAGUCUGUUGGGGCUGCUGUAACAAAACACUUAGAGUGGGUAAUUUAUGAUAAACAGAAACGUAGUGCUCACAUUUCUGGAGGGUGGGAAGUCCACGAUCAAGGUGCCUGUAGACUCAGUGUCUGGUGACGGCCCAUGAUUCAUAGACGUGUCCUUGGAUGGUGGAAGGGAGGAAUGUGGGUGCCCCCUGGAGCCUCUUUUGGGAGGGCAGUCAUCCAUCCAUGUAGGCAGACUGCCUCCCAGAGGCCCCACCUCCUAGUACUAUUGCACAGGGGGUUAGGUAUCAAUGUGAGUUUUGGGAGAUGAUAUUGUUUGGCUCUGUGUCCCCAACCAAUCUCACCUUGAAUUGUAAUAAUCCCCACAGGUCAAGGGCAGGACUGGGUGGAGGUGAUUGAAUCAUGGCGGUGGUUUCCCCCAUUCUGUUCUCGUGAUAGUGAGUGCAAUCUCACAAGAGCUGAUGGUUUUGUAAGGGGCUUCCUCCUGCGAUUGACACUCAUUCUGUCUCCUACCACCCUGUGAAGAGGUGCCUUCCGCCAUGAUUGUGUUUCCUGAGGCCUCCCCAGCCAUGUGGAACUGUGAGUUGAUGAAACCGCUUUUCUUUAUAAAUUACCCAGUCCCAAGUAUUUCUUCAUAGUGACAUGAGAGCAGACUAAUACGGGAAGGCAUCAACAUCGAGGCCACAGCUGUGACUGACUGUGUUGUAUGUGGACUGACCGUGUUGUAUGUGGUGAUUUAAUUUUCUCAUCUGUCUUCUCAAAGAUACCACCUUUGGACCAAAAAUUCUACAAUAAUAAAUUGUCCAAACAUUAAGAUUCACCUCGUUCUACUCAUCUUCCUCAUCUCUCGUAUGAAUAAUCAUUCCUCUGUCACCCUCUUCUGUUCUGAAAAACAAACCAACCAACAUUGGGGCACUUUUUCCAUUGACUGGUUUACUUUCCUUCUGUAUACCUGAGGGGAAUCUUCCUUCCUUUGGGGUCUUUGUCAUGUCCUUCAGACGUUGGGGUGUCCUCUGUGGGGGUCCCCAGCUUAAAUCAACUGACCCCACAACUUUGUGUGGAACCUGAAAUGAGCAGCCUAUGGAGAACCUGGUCAUUGAAUACUUAGAUCUUGCUGCAGUCCCUAUUUAAACACCUGUUCAAUCAACUCGGGGACCUAUAUUUUAGAUUUCAACAUCUCUGAAUUGGCCUGUUCCCUACAGCAGUUGUGUUCUAAUGUCAGCCUGGACAAGGCCGAGUUCUUCCUGAAAGGGUUUGUGCUUUAUGUUGCCCCCUGGGGGCACUGCCACUUUGGAAUCCCUUUAAAUACGUUUUUUUUUGUGUGAGUUUUGGGAGCCCAUGUGAAUAGUGUAAACAUAUUGCAAAGCUGGUUUCUGGCUGGCCUGUGGUUUAGAUUAUCUGAGCUUCCCCCUCUUGCCUCCAGGCUGAGCUGACCCACAGCUAAUUUAGGUAUAUGCUCUUUCUUUGAGGUCCAUCAAUAAUGGUGCUUCUUAGAUUCAGUGUGGCCUAGUCCACUUUGUGGUGCUGUAACAGAAUAUCUGAGACUGGGUAAUUUAUAAAGAACAGAAAUUUAUUUCUUACAGUUCUGGAGGCUGGGACAUCAAAGGUCCAGGGGCCCCCAUCUGGUGAGGGCCUUCUUGCUGUGUCAUCCCAUGGUGGAAGGUGGAAGGGUGUGAGAGAGAGAGAGAAAGGGGAGAGAGGAAGGGGGCCAAACUCAUCCUUUUAUUCCAAAAUAACGAACCUACUCCUACAAUAGUGGUAUCAAUUCAUUCACGAGGGCUCUGAUGAAGAAUGUGUCUUCAAGGUCCCACCUCUCAACAUUGUUGCAUUGGGAUUAAGUUUCCAACACAUGCACUAUAGGGACACAUUCAAACCACAGCAUGGUGCAUCCUCUGAUGUCCACAUUAUAGAUGGAGGUGGCAGCUUAUCACCUGGAGCUCCUGAAGAAAUUAAAGAAGAGACACAUGGUGACGCAGCCCAUGGCCUGGCGUUUUCAGCAUCUCAGAAGCACUGACAGGGACCUGCAAGCUUAUGAGGAAUUGUUCAACUCAAUGGGCUUCCUCAGAGCUUGGGAGACCAUUAAUGUGGAAGACACUAUCUGGACAUGUUUCUCUUUUUUCCAUCUCUCUAGAUUUUAUUUCAGGAUCGGGGAGACUUCUGGAGUAGAAAAGCCACUCAAGAACCUUCCUCCUCCUCCCCCACACCCCGCCUCCCCCACGCCCCACCUCCCCCACGCCCCACCUCCCCCACGCCCCACCUCCCCCACGCCCCACCUCCCCCACGCCCCCCCUCAUAAGCAGCUGCCCUCCGAGCGGCAUGGAGUCCCCACGUCCCGGCUCCACGGUGCAGGAGUCCUCCAUGGUGGUUGAAUUCGCCUUUCAGGCCCUAUGUUCAGGAUUUGUGAUCUGGGUUUUAAAAACAUUUUUUAGAAGUCAUUGGUAAUUAAAAACUAAGUUUUUUAUUGUGGUAAAAUAUACAUAACAUAAAAUUUA